GGCACCCUGGCAUAGUGGUUAGCAUGGUUGCCUCAGACCUCCAGGGUCCGGGGUUCGAGUCCCACCGGGGCCA